AUGUCUAAUAAUCAUUUCUAACACAAUUAUUGCUAAUAAUGAUAGCUACUAAUUGUUGCUAAUAAUAGUAGAUAAUAAUUGUUACUUAUUAAUUGUUGCUAAUAAUUAUUCUCAACUAAUUAAUUUUUUAUUUAUGUAAAGAUGGAAUAGGGCUACUUGGAUGUAUGGUUUGCCAAGGUACUCACAAGCCUAUGCUGAUGAGGUGGACAAAUUUA
rnacentral:lncRNA from 1 species